AGGUUAGUGCAAAAGUAAUUGCAGUUUUGCCAUUAAAAGUAAUUGCAAAAACCUCAAUUGCUUUUGCACCAAUCU
ensembl:miRNA